rnacentral:rRNA from 1 species
AACGAACGCUGGCGGCGUGCCUAACACAUGCAAGUCGCGCGAGAAAAGGGGGGCAACUCCCUGAGUAAAGCGGCGCACGGGUGAGUAACACGUAGGUAACCUACCCUCGAGUCCAGAAUAACCCGCCGAAAGGUGGGCUAAUACCGGAUAUGACCACGGGAGCUUCGGUUCCUGCGGUGAAAGGUGGCCUCUGCUUGCAAGCCACUGCUCGAAGAUGGGCCUGCGCGCCAUUAGCUAGUUGGUGGGGUAACGGCCCACCAAGGCGAUGAUGGCUAGCUGGUCUGAGAGGAUGGCCAGCCACACUGGGACUGAAACACGGCCCAGACUCCUACGGGAGGCAGCAGUGGGGGAUAUUGCGCAAUGGGCGAAAGCCUGACGCAGCGACGCCGCGUGGGUGAUGAAGGCCUUCGGGUCGUAAAGCCCUGUCGAGGGGAAAGAAACGGUUCCGACCCAACACGUCGGGACCCUGACGGUACCCCUAAAGGAAGCACCGGCUAACUCCGUGCCAGCAGCCGCGGUAAUACGGAGGGUGCGAGCGUUGUUCGGAAUCACUGGGCGUAAAGGGCGUGUAGGCGGUCCGCUAAGUCUGAUGUGAAAGCCCGGGGCUCACCCCCGGAAGUGCAUUGGAAACUGGUGGACUCGAGUCCCGGAGAGGAGAGUGGAAUUCCUGGUGUAGCGGUGAAAUGCGUAGAUAUCAGGAGGAACACCGGUGGCGAAGGCGGCUCUCUGGACGGUGACUGACGCUGAGACGCGAAAGCGUGGGGAGCAAACAGGAUUAGAUACCCUGGUAGUCCACGCUGUAAACGAUGAGCACUAGGUGUCGUGGGUAUUGACCCCCGCGGUGCCGUAGCUAACGCAUUAAGUGCUCCGCCUGGGGACUACGGCCGCAAGGUUA